rnacentral:rRNA from 1 species
GGUUAAGCGACUAAGCGUACACGGUGGAUGCCCUGGCAGUCAGAGGCGAUGAAGGGCGUGCUAAUCUGCGAUAAGCGCCGGUAAGGUGAUAUGAACCGUUAUAACCGGCGAUACCCGAAUGGGGAAACCCAGUGUGAUUCGUCACACUAUCAUUAACUGAAUCCAUAGGUUAAUGAGGCGAACCGGGGGAACUGAAACAUCUAAGUACCCCGAGGAAAAGAAAUCAACCGAGAUUCCCCCAGUAGCGGCGAGCGAACGGGGAGGAGCCCAGAGCCUGAAUCAGCAUGUGUGUUAGUGGAAGCGUCUGGAAAGGCGCGCGAUACAGGGUGACAGCCCCGUACACAAAAGCGCAUGUGCUGUGAGCUCGAUGAGUAGGGCGGGACACGUGGUAUCCUGUCUGAAUAUGGGGGGACCAUCCUCCAAGGCUAAAUACUCCUGACUGACCGAUAGUGAACCAGUACCGUGAGGGAAAGGCGAAAAGAACCCCGGCGAGGGGAGUGAAAAAGAACCUGAAACCGUGUACGUACAAGCAGUGGGAGCACCCUUCGGGGUGUGACUGCGUACCUUUUGUAUAAUGGGUCAGCGACUUAUAUUCUGUAGCAAGGUUAACCGUAUAGGGGAGCCGGAGGGAAACCGAGUCUUAAUUGGGCGUUAAGUUGCAGGGUAUAGACCCGAAACCCGGUGAUCUAGCCAUGGGCAGGUUGAAGGUUGGGUAACACUAACUGGAGGACCGAACCGACUAAUGUUGAAAAAUUAGCGGAUGACCUGUGGCUGGGGGUGAAAGGCCAAUCAAACCGGGAGAUAGCUGGUUCUCCCCGAAAGCUAUUUAGGUAGCGCCUCGUGAAUUCAUCUCCGGGGGUAGAGCACUGUUUCGGCUAGGGGGCCAUCCCGGCUUACCAACCCGAUGCAAACUGCGAAUACCGGAGAAUGUUAUCACGGGAGACACACGGCGGGUGCUAACGUCCGUCGUGAAGAGGGAAACAACCCAGACCGCCAGCUAAGGUCCCAAAGUCAUGGUUAAGUGGGAAACGAUGUGGGAAGGCCCAGACAGCCAGGAUGUUGGCUUAGAAGCAGCCAUCAUUUAAAGAAAGCGUAAUAGCUCACUGGUCGAGUCGGCCUGCGCGGAAGAUGUAACGGGGCUAAACCAUGCACCGAAGCUGCGGCAGCGAACGUAUCACCCAAGACAACUUUACGGAGUUGACGAUUGACGGAGCGAAGCGACGUCAAAGCGUUCAUUAAAGUCGAGUUGGCUUAGGGAUACGUUCGUUGGGUAGGGGAGCGUUCUGUAAGCCUGUGAAGGUGUGUCGUGAGGCAUGCUGGAGGUAUCAGAAGUGCGAAUGCUGACAUAAGUAACGAUAAAGCGGGUGAAAAGCCCGCUCGCCGGAAGACCAAGGGUUCCUGUCCAACGUUAAUCGGGGCAGGGUGAGUCGACCCCUAAGGCGAGGCCGAAAGGCGUAGUCGAUGGGAAACGGGUUAAUAUUCCCGUACUUGGUGUUACUGCGAAGGGGGGACGGAGAAGGCUAUGUUGGCCGGGCGACGGUUGUCCCGGUUUAAGCGUGUAGGUGUGUGUUCCAGGUAAAUCCGGUUCACUUUAACACUGAGGCGUGACGACGAGGCACUACGGUGCUGAAGCAACAAAUGCCCUGCUUCCAGGAAAAGCCUCUAAGCAUCAGGUAACACGAAAUCGUACCCCAAACCGACACAGGUGGUCAGGUAGAGAAUACCAAGGCGCUUGAGAGAACUCGGGUGAAGGAACUAGGCAAAAUGGUGCCGUAACUUCGGGAGAAGGCACGCUGACACGUAGGUGAAGUGAUUUACUCACGGAGCUGAAGUCAGUCGAAGAUACCAGCUGGCUGCAACUGUUUAUUAAAAACACAGCACUGUGCAAACACGAAAGUGGACGUAUACGGUGUGACGCCUGCCCGGUGCCGGAAGGUUAAUUGAUGGGGUCAGCGCAAGCGAAGCUCCUGAUCGAAGCCCCGGUAAACGGCGGCCGUAACUAUAACGGUCCUAAGGUAGCGAAAUUCCUUGUCGGGUAAGUUCCGACCUGCACGAAUGGCGUAAUGAUGGCCAGGCUGUCUCCACCCGAGACUCAGUGAAAUUGAACUCGCUGUGAAGAUGCAGUGUACCCGCGGCAAGACGGAAAGACCCCGUGAACCUUUACUAUAGCUUGACACUGAACAUUGAGCCUUGAUGUGUAGGAUAGGUGGGAGGCUUUGAAGUGUGGACGCCAGUCUGCAUGGAGCCGACCUUGAAAUACCACCCUUUAAUGUUUGAUGUUCUAACGUGGACCCGUAAUCCGGGUUGCGGACAGUGUCUGGUGGGUAGUUUGACUGGGGCGGUCUCCUCCUAAAGAGUAACGGAGGAGCACGAAGGUUGGCUAAUCCUGGUCGGACAUCAGGAGGUUAGUGCAAUGGCAUAAGCCAGCUUGACUGCGAGCGUGACGGCGCGAGCAGGUGCGAAAGCAGGUCAUAGUGAUCCGGUGGUUCUGAAUGGAAGGGCCAUCGCUCAACGGAUAAAAGGUACUCCGGGGAUAACAGGCUGAUACCGCCCAAGAGUUCAUAUCGACGGCGGUGUUUGGCACCUCGAUGUCGGCUCAUCACAUCCUGGGGCUGAAGUAGGUCCCAAGGGUAUGGCUGUUCGCCAUUUAAAGUGGUACGCGAGCUGGGUUUAGAACGUCGUGAGACAGUUCGGUCCCUAUCUGCCGUGGGCGCUGGAGAACUGAGGGGGGCUGCUCCUAGUACGAGAGGACCGGAGUGGACGCAUCACUGGUGUUCGGGUUGUCAUGCCAAUGGCACUGCCCGGUAGCUAAAUGCGGAAGAGAUAAGUGCUGAAAGCAUCUAAGCACGAAACUUGCCCCGAGAUGAGUUCUCCCUGAGACUUAGAGUCUCCUGAAGGAACGUUGAAGACGACGACGUUGAUAGGCCGGGUGUGUAAGCGCAGCGAUGCGUUGAGCUAACCGGUACUAAUGAACCGUGAGGCUUAACCUU